rnacentral:Y_RNA from 1 species
GGCUAGUCCAAGUGCAGUAGUGUUUACAACUGAAUGAUCACAACCAGUUGCAGACUUCACUGUUCCUUCACUCUCACUGCUUCACUGGACUAGCCUUAA